UACAGAGGGUGCAAGCGUUAAUCGGAAUUACUGGGCGUAAAGCGUGCGUAGACGGUUAUUUAAGUCAGGUGUGAAAGCCCCCGGGCUCAACCUGGGAAUUGCAUUUGAGACUGAAUAGCUAGGGUGCGGAAGAGGGAAGCGGAAUUUCCGGUGUAGCGGUGAAAUGCGUAGAUAUCGGAAGGAACACCAGUGGCGAAAGCGGCUUCCUGGUCCCAGCACCGACGUUCAGGCACGAAAGCGUGGGGAGCAAACAGG
rnacentral:rRNA from 1 species